rnacentral:rRNA from 1 species
CCAAUAGCGUAUAUUAAAGUUGCUGCAGUUAAAAAGCUCGUAGUUGAAUUUCGGAACCAAUAUGUUGGUUGUGCCUCGGUACGUACUGGCAUUGUUGGUUUCUCCCUUCUGACGAACUAUGAUGUCAUUAAUUUGGUGUCAUGGGGAAUCAGGACUGUUACUUUGAAAAAAUUAGAGUGUUUAAAGCAGGCUCACGCUUGAAUACAUUAGCAUGGAAUAA